rnacentral:rRNA from 1 species
UACGUAGGGUGCGAGCGUUGUCCGGAAUUAUUGGGCGUAAAGAGCUCGUAGGCGGUUUGUCGCGUCUGCUGUGAAAGUCCAGGGCUCAACCCUGGGAUGCCGGUGGAUACUGUCGGACUAGAGUACGGAAGAGGCGAGUGGAAUUCCCGGUGUAGCGGUGAAAUGCGCAGAUAUCGGGAGGAACACCAAUUGCGAAGGCAGCUCGCUGGGACGUUACUGACACUGAGACGCGAAAGCGUGGGGAGCAAACAGG